rnacentral:rRNA from 1 species
CAGCACCUCAAGUGGUCAGGAUGAUUAUUGGGCCUAAAGCAUCCGUAGCCGGCGCUUUAAGUUUUCGGUUAAAUCUGUACGCUCAACGUACAGGCUGCCGGGAAUACUGCAGCGCUAGGGAGUGGGAGAGGUAGACGGUACUCGGUAGGAAGGGGUAAAAUCCUUUGAUCUAUUGAUGACCACCUGUGGCGAAGGCGGUCUACCAGAACACGUCCGACGGUGAGGGAUGAAAGCUGGGGGAGCAAACCGGAUUAGAUACCCGAGUAGUCC